UAACGCGUGGGUAACCUGCCUCAUACAGGGGGAUAGCAGCUGGAAACGGCUGGUAAUACCGCAUAAGCGCACAGUGCCACAUGGUACAGUGUGAAAAACUCCGGUGGUAUGAGAUGGACCCGCGUCUGAUUAGCUGGUUGGUGAGGUAACGGCCCACCAAGGCGACGAUCAGUAGCCGACCUGAGAGGGUGACCGGCCACAUUGGGACUGAGACACGGUCCAG
rnacentral:rRNA from 1 species